GGAGAGGUGCCCGGAGUGGCUGAUCGGGGACCUGGAGCACGCCUCGAGGUCGGGCCGGCGACGGCCUGCGCAGGUUCGAAUCCUGCCCUCUCCG
rnacentral:tRNA from 1 species